GCGCCCGUAGCUCAGGUGGAUAGAGCACCGGUUUCCUAAACCGGGGGUCGUGGGUUCGAGUCCCUCCGGGCGUA
rnacentral:tRNA from 1 species